rnacentral:misc_RNA from 1 species
AGCAGCCGCGGUAAUUCCAGCUCCAAUAGCGUAUAUUAAAGUUGUUGCAGUUAAAAAGCUCGUAGUUGAACUUCGGGGUUUACCCAUUGGUCAGGCUUAAUUGUCUGUACUGGUGAGAUAAAUCUCUACCUUCUGAGGAACUUUCAUGCCAUUUAUUUGGUGUGAUUGGAAAUCAGGACUAUUACUUUGAAAAAAUUAGAGUGUUUAAAGCAGGCUAACGUCUGAAUAUAUUAGCAUGGAAUAAUGAAAUAGGACGGCUUGGUUCUAUUUCGUUGGUUUCUAGGAUCACCGUAAUGAUUAAUAGAGAUAGUUGGGGGCAUUAGUAUUCAAUUGUCAGAGGUGAAAUUCUUGGAUUUAUUGAAGACUAACUACUGCGAAAAGCAUUUUGCCAAGGAUGUUUUCAUUAAUCAAGAACGAAAGUUAGGGGGAUCGAAGACGAUCAGAUACCGUCGUAGUCUUAACCAUAAACUAUGCCGACUAGGGAUCGGACGAAGUUAAUUUAUAAUGACGUCGUUCGGCA